AUUGAACGCUGGCGGCGUGCCUAACACAUGCAAGUCGAGCGGUAACAGGUGUAGCAAUACAUGCUGACGAGCGGCGAACGGGUGAGUAAUGCUUCGGAAUCUACCCAAUGGUGGGGAAUAACCAGCCGAAAGGUUGGCUAAUACCGCAUACGUCCUACGGGAGAAAGCAGGGGAUCGUAAGACCUUGCGCCAAUGGAUGAGCCGAAGUCGGAUUAGCUAGUUGGAGGGUAACGGCCUACCAAGGCGACGAUCCGUAGCUGGUCUGAGAGGACGACCAGCCACACUGGGACUGAGACACGGCCCAGACUCCUACGGGAGGCAGCAGUGGGGAAUAUUGGACAAUGGGGGAAACCCUGAUCCAGCGACGCCGCGUGUGUGAAGAAGGCCUGCGGGUUGUAAAGCACUUUUAGUGGGGAUGAAAAGUUCAGGGCUAAUACCCCUGGAUCUUGACCUAACCCACAGAAAAGCACCGGCUAACUCUGUGCCAGCAGCA
rnacentral:rRNA from 1 species